rnacentral:rRNA from 1 species
UACGUAGGUGGCAAGCGUUGUCCGGAUUUACUGGGCGUAAAGAGCGCGCAGGCGGUCGUGCAAGUCGCGUGUGAAAGCCCCCCGGCUCAACUGGGGAGGGUCACGCGAUACUGUCACUCGAAGGCAGGAGAGGGUAGUGGAAUUCCCGGUGUAGUGGUGAAAUGCGUAGAUAUCGGGAGGAACACCAGUGGCGAAGGCGACUACCUGGCCUGUUCUUGACGCUGAGGCGCGAAAGCUAGGGGAGCAAACGGG